GAUGAACGCUAGCUACAGGCUUAACACAUGCAAGUCGAGGGGAAACGACAUCGAAAGCUUGCUUUUGGUGGGCGUCGACCGGCGCACGGGUGAGUAACGCGUAUCCAACCUGCCCACCACUUGGGGAUAACCUUGCGAAAGUAAGACUAAUACCCAAUGAUAUCCCACGAAGGCAUCCGAAUGGGAUUAAAGAUUUAUCGGUGAUGGAUGGGGAUGCGUCUGAUUAGCUUGUUGGCGGGGUAACGGCCCACCAAGGCAACGAUCGGUAGGGGUUCUGAGAGGAAGGUCCCCCACAUUGGAACUGAGACACGGUCCAAACUCCUACGGGAGGCAGCAGUGAGGAAUAUUGGUCAAUGGGCGAGAGCCUGAACCAGCCAAGUAGCGUGCAGGAUGACGGCCCUAUGGGUUGUAAACUGCUUUUAUAAGGGAAUAAAGUGGGUCUCGUGAGACUUUUUGCAUGUACCUUAUGAAUAAGGACCGGCUAAUUCCGUG
rnacentral:rRNA from 1 species